rnacentral:rRNA from 1 species
UCCGUAGGUGAACCUGCGGAAGGAUCAUUACCGAGUUCAUGCCCUUCGGGGUAGAUCUCCCACCCUUUGUAUACUAUACCUUUGUUGCUUUGGCGGGCCGCCUAGCUACUGACUUCGGCUGGUAAGUGCCCGCCAGAGGACCCAAAACCCUGAAUAUUAGUGUCGUCUGAGUAAAAAGUUUAAUAUUUAAAACUUUCAACAACGGAUCUCUUGGCUCUGGCAUCGAUGAAGAACGCAGCGAAAUGCGAUAGGUAAUGUGAAUUGCAGAAUUCAGUGAAUCAUCGAAUCUUUGAACGCACAUUGCGCCCCUUGGUAUUCCGAGGGGCAUGCCUAUUCGAGCGUCAUUAUCACCCCUCAAGCCUAGCUUGGUGUUGAGACCUGCUGUCAAGGCAGUCUCUAAAAUCAGUGGCAGUGCUGUCAGGCUCUAAGCGUAGUAAAUUCAUCGCUAUAGACACCUGGUGGCCACUCGCCAGAACCCCCCCAUUUUUUAAUGAUUGACCUCGGAUUAGGUAGGGAUACCCGCUGAACUUAAGCAUAUCAAUAAGCGGAGGAA